GCGGGUGUAGUUUAGUGGUAAAACCUCAGCCUUCCAAGCUGAUGAUGUGGGUUCGAUUCCCAUCACCCGCU
rfam:Geomicrobium sp. JCM 19039 DNA, contig: JCM19039.contig00049.